CAGGUGAUACGCUUCAGACAACAAUUGGAACUUCAAUGCACUUCAAUACAACAUAUAUUCAAGCGCUACAUAGGCUAAACCAUUCUCCACCAAUUAAAUGGCCAAGUAAUCGCUAUCCAAAAUAUCUUCUCCACCAUUCCUGAAACUUCUUCAUUCUCUAAAAAAAAUCCCACUAUUUUUCUCCUCUUCCAAAUCUCAUCUGUAACGUGUGCAUUAUAACUUAUGAAAUUCAUUCAUGAUUGUAACAAUCAAAAGGAUGCAAAUUUUCAAUUCCCAAACCUUCACCACUAAUAUAUACCUCUCUCCCCCUCCACCGAAAUCACCGUAUCCAAAUAAUGGAAGCAGAUAAUCAAAGUGAUAGGCUGAUUCUAGAGAUUUUUAAUUAUAUACAGCUCUUUUAUUGGUUGGUGGGAGUUGUUUAGUAAGGGAACCAGUACUGAUCGUGAAAUUCAAAGAACACAUAUGGAGUUGCUCAAUCAGUCUGAUGGGUUGGACAACCUCGGAAAGUUAAUUUACAUAUAGAGGAAAAAUUGGACGUCUUCGCCAAUCUCUACACCAUGGAAGUGUUCAUCAUAUCAAGUCUUAAGGUAAUGAAAGAUUUUUUUUUGUAUCUCAUAACUUAUAAUUUUUAUGUGCAGAAAAAAGUUCAUAUUCUCAAAGAUUGAAUAAUUUUGGAAUUUUAUAUCUUUACUUCCUAAUUUGUAUUCUCCUCUUAAACAGGGUCUCUGAAAUGCUUCAAGUGUUUCUGUUAAAUUAGUUUAAUCAUCAUCCCAAAAAAUCAUUUGCAGGUUUACCAUGUCCAAAAGCUACAUCAAGACAUAUGUUUGAGUUAACUGUCAAAAAUGCAUACUUUAAUAUUUUACUGUACAUGUUUUUGCAUCGUGACUUGAGACUGUUGCACAUGGCAAAUUAGUAUGUCAAAAAGCCUUGGUAUGUAUUUAUUUGAUCCCUUUGUGUUUUGUAUUUCCGGGAAUUGGUUUUGCCUAAUUCUAAAUUGAAGCCAUUGUUGAUUGGUUUCAAGUAGAGCUUAUUUCUUAUAAUUUACAAAAUUUUAUGAA